UACAGAGGUGGCAAGCGUUGUUCGGAAUUACUGGGCGUAAAGGGCGCGUAGGCGGUCAGGUCAGUCCCGUGUGAAAUCCCUCGGCUCAACUGAGGAACUGCACGGGAAACUGCCUGGCUUGAGUUCGGGAGAGGGAAGCGGAAUUCCGGGUGUAGCGGUGAAAUGCGUAGAUAUCCGGAGGAACACCGGUGGCGAAGGCGGCUUCCUGGACCGACACUGACGCUGAUGCGCGAAAGCUAGGGGAGCGAACGGG
rnacentral:rRNA from 1 species